rnacentral:rRNA from 1 species
CACUAUCGUUAACUGAAUACAUAGGUUAACGAGGCGAACCGGGGGAACUGAAACAUCUAAGUACCCCGAGGAAAAGAAAUCAACCGAGAUUCCCCCAGUAGCGGCGAGCGAACGGGGAGCAGCCCAGAGUCUGAAUCAGCUUGUGUGUUAGUGGAACGGUCUGGAAAGUCCGACGGUACAGGGUGAUAGUCCCGUACACCAAAAUGCACAGGUUGUGAACUCGAAGAGUAGGGCGGGACACGUGGUAUCCUGUCUGAAUAUGGGGGGACCAUCCUCCAAGGCUAAAUACUCCUGACUGACCGAUAGUGAACCAGUACCGUGAGGGAAAGGCGAAAAGAACCCCGGCGAGGGGAGUGAAAAAGAACCUGAAACCGUGUACGUACAAGCAGUGGGAGCACCUUCGGGUGUGACUGCGUACCUUUUGUAUAAUGGGUCAGCGACUUAUAUUCUGUAGCAAGGUUAACCGUAUAGGGGAGCCGCAGGGAAACCGAGUCUUAACUGGGCGUUAAGUUGCAGGGUAUAGACCCGAAACCCGGUGAUCUAGCCAUGGGCAGGUUGAAGGUUGGGUAACACUAACUGGAGGACCGAACCGACUAAUGUUGAAAAAUUAGCGGAUGACUUGUGGCUGGGGGUGAAAGGCCAAUCAAACCGGGAGAUAGCUGGUUCUCCCCGAAAGCUAUUUAGGUAGCGCCUCGUGAACUCAUCUUCGGGGGUAGAGCACUGUUUCGGCUAGGGGGUCAUCCCGACUUACCAACCCGAUGCAAACUACGAAUACCGAAGAAUGUUAUCACGGGAGACACACGGCGGGUGCUAACGUCCGUCGUGAAGAGGGAAACAACCCAGACCGCCAGCUAAGGUCCCAAAGUCAUGGUUAAGUGGGAAACGAUGUGGGAAGGCACAGACAGCCAGGAUGUUGGCUUAGAAGCAGCCAUCAUUUAAAGAAAGCGUAAUAGCUCACUGGUCGAGUCGGCCUGCGCGGAAGAUGUAACGGGGCUAAACCAUGCACCGAAGCUGCGGCAGCGACACUAUGUGUUGUUGGGUAGGGGAGCGUUCUGUAAGCCUGCGAAGGUGUGCUGUGAGGCAUGCUGGAGGUAUCAGAAGUGCGAAUGCUGACAUAAGUAACGAUAAAGCGGGUGAAAAGCCCGCUCGCCGGAAGACCAAGGGUUCCUGUCCAACGUUAAUCGGGGCAGGGUGAGUCGACCCCUAAGGCGAGGCCGAAAGGCGUAGUCGAUGGGAAACAGGUUAAUAUUCCUGUACUUGGUGUUACUGCGAAGGGGGGACGGAGAAGGCUAUGUUAGCCGGGCGACGGUUGUCCCGGUUUAAGCAUGUAGGCUGAUUGUCCAGGCAAAUCCGGAUAAUCAAGGCUGAGGUGUGAUGACGAGGCACUACGGUGCUGAAGUAACAAAUGCCCUGCUUCCAGGAAAAGCCUCUAAGCAUCAGGUAACAUCAAAUCGUACCCCAAACCGACACAGGUGGUCAGGUAGAGAAUACCAAGGCGCUUGAGAGAACUCGGGUGAAGGAACUAGGCAAAAUGGUGCCGUAACUUCGGGAGAAGGCACGCUGGUGUGUAGGUGAAGUCCCUGCGGAUGGAGCUGAGACCAGUCGAAGAUACCAGCUGGCUGCAACUGUUUAUUAAAAACACAGCACUGUGCAAACACGAAAGUGGACGUAUACGGUGUGACGCCUGCCCGGUGCCGGAAGGUUAAUUGAUGGGGUUAUCCGUAAGGAGAAGCUCUUGAUCGAAGCCCCGGUAAACGGCGGCCGUAACUAUAACGGUCCUAAGGUAGCGAAAUUCCUUGUCGGGUAAGUUCCGACCUGCACGAAUGGCGUAAUGAUGGCCAGGCUGUCUCCACCCGAGACUCAGUGAAAUUGAACUCGCUGUGAAGAUGCAGUGUACCCGCGGCAAGACGGAAAGACCCCGUGAACCUUUACUAUAGCUUGACACUGAACAUUGAGCCUUGAUGUGUAGGAUAGGUGGGAGGCUUUGAAGCGUGGACGCCAGUCUGCGUGGAGCCAACCUUGAAAUACCACCCUUUAAUGUUUGAUGUUCUAACGUUGGCCCCUGACCGGGGUUGCGGACAGUGUCUGGUGGGUAGUUUGACUGGGGCGGUCUCCUCCCAAAGCGUAACGGAGGAGCACGAAGGUUAGCUAAUCCUGGUCGGACAUCAGGAGGUUAGUGCAAUGGCAUAAGCUAGCUUGACUGCGAGCGUGACGGCGCGAGCAGGUGCGAAAGCAGGUCAUAGUGAUCCGGUGGUUCUGAAUGGAAGGGCCAUCGCUCAACGGAUAAAAGGUACUCCGGGGAUAACAGGCUGAUACCGCCCAAGAGUUCAUAUCGACGGCGGUGUUUGGCACCUCGAUGUCGGCUCAUCACAUCCUGGGGCUGAAGUAGGUCCCAAGGGUAUGGCUGUUCGCCAUUUAAAGUGGUACGCGAGCUGGGUUUAGAACGUCGUGAGACAGUUCGGUCCCUAUCUGCCGUGGGCGCUGGAGAAUUGAGGGGGGCUGCUCCUAGUACGAGAGGACCGGAGUGGACGCAUCACUGGUGUUCGGGUUGUCAUGCCAAUGGCACUGCCCGGUAGCUAAAUGCGGAAGAGAUAAGUGCUGAAAGCAUCUAAGCACGAAACUUGCCCCGAGAUGAGUUCUCCCUGAGACUUUAAGUCUCCUGAAGGAACGUUAAAGACGAUGACGUUGAUAGGCCGGGUGUGUAAGCGCAGCGAUGCGUUGAGCUAACCGGUACUAAUGAACCGUGAGGCUUAACCUU